AGAUUCAAUACCGCCUAGGGUUAGAAAACAAGGCCGCCGACACCUUAUCUCGAGUUACCCCUCUAGUUGAAAUAGCAAACCUUACUCUUCCUAUGGUUGUGGAUGUCCAGUCCAUCAUGGACCAAGUAGAAGCUGACCCCUGGCUUUCUAAACUUAAAAAGGAGCUACUUGAGGAUGUAAUUGCUCGGCCUCGCAUUCAUUGGAUCAUGGCAGAUUACUUUACAAAGGACGGUUGGUCAUUCC
rnacentral:lncRNA from 1 species